rnacentral:lncRNA from 1 species
CUUUUGGGGAUUUGUUAGAUGCAGGGAGUGUUCUCUCCCUUUUAGGGUUCCCAGUCUGGUCCUCGGUAUCCUUGGAACCAAAGCCUGGAGCCGGUCUGGAAAAGCACUGGAGGGACUGGUGCCAGGGCCCCCCCUUGGCUUGGCCCGGCCACGUGCUGACCCACUAGGAUUUUUCCAUCGCUCCUGGAGGUCACACCUUCACUGCUCAGGAGCCUCUCAAGGAGGGUGAUAGUGAUUAAUGUUUUAUGGAUCAGCUGCUGGGCAUGACGCCUUGUUUUCUUUAGGUUUAGAAUACAAUGAGGGCGAUGAGUGGAAUUUGCUAGGAGCUGGGGGCCAGGGCAGGGCCAUUCUUGGGGGCCACAGACCCAUAGGUGGUGAUGUUUACUGUCCUUAGUGAUGAAAAGGGGGCAAUUCUGGAGGUCAUGAAGGCAGGUGAGGCCUUUGCCUACAGGGCCAUUGUCUCCAGCCCUCAAGAGACAAUCCCUACCAUCACCUUGGGCCUGGUGCGCAGAGUGGCCGCUGGUGAAGGGUACCCAGAAAUUUUAAUGAGCUCAUUCUGCUCAGGUGACUCUGCCUCAUUCCAAUAAAACCACAUUCUCUGCAUAUAGGAUUUUGCUUAUUUUUCUGUUCUUUCCAGAGUAUUGAUGGGGAACGAAGUGAGGGCACAGCUGAUCUUCAGCCAUAUGGGUUAACCCCCUUCCUCCUCGCCAGACUUGAAGAGGUGUUUCUGCUCCACACCUGUGAGAGUCUUGCUGGGCCCAAAGGAGGGUGUGACUCUGUUAAACUGUUCGUGAAGUUCCAGGAGUGGCUGAUGCGCCUGGAUUGUGACUGAGGGGCCAGUGGCACCUUCCAUCCGACACGAAUUCCAAGAAUUUCCACUGCUGGCACCCAGGCUGGGAGGAGCAGCUGCAUCUGCCGCCAGGAAUGUGGGGCCUAGAGACACCAAGCCCAGGAAUGCCUCCCUGGGGCCCGAAGCUUCCGUUCCAGAAAAUCCUGAGGACUCCUUGCUCUCUGUUUCCUUCCUUCUCCCUGAGUGUGAAGCCAGCCCAAGCCGCCCUUGAAAUUUUCUGGAGGGGAAAUCCUAGAGAGUUAGGUUUAAAACAGAGCUCAGCAGCCAUGGGGAUUCUACCAACAGGCGCCAUCCUCAGCGGGGUGGGCUUCUGUGGGUCACCUGCCCUCUGUGAUCCUCACAGAGUGACAGCCCCAGCUCCUCGAGCUGUCGACUCAUUUUCCCAGGUGAUGAGGUAAGUUCAGAAACCACAUCACCCUCUGGGACACUCAACCAUAGUAGAGGCUCUGACAAGCUCUGCAAUAAAAAACACUCACUUUUUUAGGCAGGGGUUCACCAAACUUAUUUGGCCAAAAAACUUUCUUUUAGAAGUAACUCUUAACAUAAUUUCAGUGAAUCGGUUUUCUAUGGAACACGUAUUGUAAAUGUUGGUCUGGGCAUUAUCUCUGAGGACCCCUCAGCUUUCAGAGCGUCCCUCUUUAAACCUCAGGUGGCUUAGUUUAUCAAAACCUCUCCUGAGGGCAGGUGAGG